UACUGGGUACGUCUCAUUCAUUUAUGGGACAAUAUGAAGCUCAGCUGGCUCAUACUCGCUUUCCUGCUGACUGUCUAUAAAUCCAACGGAGAAAUCCGCCAAGAGCCAGAAAUCUUAAGUGCCAACAGUGGUUCAGAUGUGACAUUAACAUGCCAACAUGAUAAUUCUGACCACUACAGAUUAUACUGGUACAAGCAGGCGAAGGGCACUGCGGGCCUGUCUUUAAUGGUGUUUUCUGCAGGUCAGAAUCUAGCGGAUAUUGAAGAACCGUUUAAAAAUCAACGUUCUAAGUAUGCAGCAACCCGUUCUGAAGUAAAGAUGUCCACGCUGAGGAUAAACAGACUAGAGAAUGAAGACUCGGCUGUCUAUUAUUGUGCCACAAGCACACGGCAUUAUAUUACAGCUGCACUGCUAAACAACAACCGCUACGCUAGCACUGUGCCACGCUUUCGUCUCUCAUUAUGAUGUCAUUUCCUGUUCCUUUUGAUCACAGACAAGCUAAACAGGCCAGUCAAAGUAAAUCUAAAAGUGGUGAGAGACAGUGAGGACUGGAUUCUCCUCUUUAAUGUCAUGGGACCGCUGUGUUUGGGGUUUAUUUUGCUGCUAGUUAUUAGUAAGUCUAUCCAGACCGUUUUGAAUUGAAAAGACUUAUUAAUAAAUGAACGUUGUUGUUACGAUUAAACUGCUUUAAUCUCUUCCCAACAGGGUCAUUAGGAGGGAUAACCAUCAUUCAGAAUGACGGAGUUAGCCAAACUCAAUUGAUUAUUCAACAAGAUAAACAAGUUACUUUAAAAUGUAACCACGAUGAUGGCAGCUAUUAUUAUAUGUACUGGUAUAGACAGAGAAGUCGAGGUGAACUGGCCCUUGUUGCUCUUUCUGUAGCAAAGGAUUCAAUAGAAACAGUUGCCCCAUUCACAACAACAAAAUUCAUAAUGAAUCGUCCUGAAAUUAAAGAAUCUUCACUGCAGAUUAAGGAUCUCACAGAGAAGGACUCCGGUAUUUAUUUCUGUGCAUCCAGUAUCACACCGUACUUUAACUUAGCCAAGCACCUGAACCUUAACCUCAACGUGAGCCACAACGAUCACAGAAAAAAUACAUGAUAAUCAGCCGGUUGUGGGAUAUACCAUCUCCUGUACAGAAUUCAUGCGUACACCUUUACUUAAAGUCUGAGGAAUGAUUACAUAGUACGCUUCUAACAAUAUAUAUGAAAUGCUAUACUAUUAUUUGUAUGCAUGCGUAAUAUAUGAAAUG